GAUGAACGCUGGCGGCGUGCCUAAUACAUGCAAGUCGAGCGAACGGACGAGGAGCUUGCUCCUCUGACGUUAGCGGCGGACGGGUGAGUAACACGUGGAUAACCUACCUAUAAGACUGGGAUAACUUCGGGAAACCGGAGCUAAUACCGGAUAAUAUAUUGAACCGCAUGGUUCAUUAGUGAAAGCCGGUUUUGCUUUCACUUAUAGAUGGAUCCGCGCCGCAUUAGCUAGUUGGUAAGGUAACGGCUUACCAAGGCAACGAUGCGUAGCCGACCUGAGAGGGUGAUCGGCCACACUGGAACUGAGACACGGUCCAGACUCCUACGGGAGGCAGCAGUAGGGAAUCUUCCGCAAUGGGCGAAAGCUUGACGGAGCAACGCCGCGUGAGUGAUGAAGGUCUUCGGAUCGUAAAACUCUGUUAUUAGGGAAGAACAAAUGUGUAAGUAACUAUGCACGUCUUGACGGUACCUAAUCAGAAAGCCACGGCUAACUACGUG
rnacentral:rRNA from 1 species